AUCACCUUACUUGAACAUGAUCUGUUCUAUAAGAUCGUACUAUUGUGUUCUUGAUUUCUAAGGAGACGGGAAAAACAAUAAAAUUAACGGACACAUCAGUGUAUUUGUA
rnacentral:snoRNA from 1 species